GACGAUUAUAGGUUGAUUUACUGUAGGUUGAGUGGUGUUUCUCUAGAUUACUCUGUGUUUGCGUGGUUAUGUGUCUCUUUGUUGCCCUGUGAUGGACAGGAAAUCAAUCAAAGUUGACCCUGCUUCGUAGCCAAUGGCGACACUGCAAGGAUUAAUCGUGGAGACCGUGCGCAGUGCCUCCAGGCCAGCAGGGGGCUCUCAUGAGUGCAGGACUUUUAACUGGUAUUUCAAAGUUUUCUCCAAAGUUUUACGGAGUUUAAAAUAAUGUAAAAUGCUUUUAGACCUUUUCGAAUGGUUUCGGUUUUAAACGAACUAACAAAUAUGGGUUAAAACUGUUAUGUUCCGGGGUUCUGGCUGCAUGGUGGGAGUUCCUGUGCACCCUUAUUACCUUUUACCACCAGAUGGCGACAGGUUCCGGCUGGAGUGCGGUGCAUUAUUAUCCGCAGCUGUUCGUGAUCAUCCUCAUCAGCGGCGCAGACUUAAGGAGUUGGCCGCCAGUCCAGCGUCGCCUGAGUGUUAGCCAGUCACGGUGAUCCUUUGAUGAGAUCCCGGUUGAAUUCCUGGCUUUUGAACCAUCCUCGUGACGCCGUGGAAAGUAUCCACAGGUUGCCCGAGUUCCCAGACUUACCUCUCCGUUGUUUUGGCAAUUAUCUCCUGGACCCCACGGCUGGCGGCCGUACCACUCCUCCGUCUCCCCGCUGCUCUCGUGCCUACCUGUCCGCUGCCCACCGCACUCCUCCGUUGUUCCUGGACCCACCAAGAACCGAGACCCCGGACAUACUCGGUUUCCCCUCCAAGACUCUGUUCAUCAGCAACAAUGAACCAUUGUUGCCGUCCCUGUUUUUGCCCCUGGACCAGACCAUCCUGAUUCUCACUGAUAAUUGUGUGAUCUUUAUUAAAUCAUUUAACACUGA